AUAAAUAAUAAUAAAAGCAUUAAAUGGAUGCCUUGGCAUUAAUUUAAUUUUAGGACGUAAAAAUGCGAAAAGCUAUAUUAAAUUUAAUUUUAUUUUAAAAUAUAGAUUUCCUAAAGAAAACUUUUUCUUUGUGAAAAUUAUAAAAAUAGUGAAUUGAAAUAUCUAAGUAACUAUUAAAAAAAUCAAACGAGAUUCUGUGAGUAAUGACGAAUGAAAAUGGAGAUUAGGUUUAUUAAAAAUAAAAAUUAUUUGAAAAAUUUUGAAAAAUUUACUUAAAAAGGUGAAAGUCCUGUAGAAUAGUUUAUUUAUUUUUUAUUUAUAGUAGGAAAAGGUAUGUGUAAUCUUUUUUGAAUAUUGGGGAACCACCCUCAAAACCUUAUAAAAAUUAAUGAUCGAUAGUGAACAAGUACUGUAAAGGAAAGGUGAAAAAGAACUUUUGAGUUUGAAAUAAUUCUGAAAUUUAAUGUUUAUAAUCAAUUGAAACUUUUUUAAAAAGUGACAGUGUACCUUUUGCAUAAUGGGCCAGCAAGUUUAUUUUUAUAGCAAGCUUAAAUUAAUAAUGUAGGCGUAGAUAAAUCAAAUUUUAAAAAUUUUCUUAGUUAUAAAAAUAAGACCCGAAACUGAGUGAUCUAACCAUGAACAGAUUGAAAAAUAGGUAAAACUAUUUAGAGGAUCGAACUCACAUGUGUGGCAAAACAUGGAGAUGAUUUGUGGUUAGGAGUGAAAGGCUAAUCAAACUCAGAGAUAGCUGGUUUUCCACGAAAUCUAUUGAAGUAGAGCAUUUAAAAUCUUUUUUUGGGGUAGAGCACUCAUUGAACUAAGGGGUGUAAAAACUUACUAAAUUCUUGGAAACUCCGAAUACAAAAAAAUGUUAUUUAAAUAGACAGACAUUAGGCGCUAAGGUCUUUUGUCAAAAGGGAAACAGCCCAGAUUGAUCGCUAAGGUCUCUAAAUAAUAUUCUAAGUGAAAAAGGAAGUAAAAAAAUCAUGACAACCAACAGGUAGGCUUGGAAGCAGCCACCCUUUAAAGAAAGCGUAAUAGCUCAUUGGUCUAGUUUUUUUGCGCCUAAAAUGUAUCGAGACUUAAGAAAUUUAC
rnacentral:ncRNA from 1 species